ACUUAGGAGGUAUAAAUAAUUACAGAUUUUUGGGGGGUUUCCUCCUGCUUAGUGUGAUGUUCGCCAUUAAGCUGCUACCGAAACUCUGCUAACUAGGGAGAAUGAACACUAGGAUGUGUCUAAACACAUCCUAAUAUUGGGCAUUACAUCAGCGUUUCAGAGAAUUGACUUUUUUGGUCCCCUUCUCUGUCUGAAAGUUUAGAGACAGCCAUUAUGAAUUAUGCAUUGUCUUCAGAAACUAGAUCGAUCCCUACAGAAUGCAGCAGAUACAGGAAUUAAAGGACAUAAAAUGAAACUGACAGGCAGGAGGUUCAGAAUGAAGAAAAGACACUUUUUUGCGCAGUUGAUAGUUCAGUGUUGGAGUUGCUCACUGUGUGACAUUUCAGUUUGCGUGGGAUUGAAGCACAGUUAGAUUGUUGUGGUGUCCUUUUAUUUUUAGAUGUUGAUGGACAAAUUCACAGAACAUCUGGCAAAUCGCUGGAUACUGGAGGGCGUCUGAGGAAUGAGCACUUCACGCUAGAACUGGUUGUACGCUCUUUCUUAACAUCUGAUAUUGGCCACUACCAGGGGCUAGCUGGAGUUUUCAUAUGACGAAAUACAAAUAUAUUUUACGAAAACUGAGGUAAUACUGGCUAGGGGAAGUUCAACGUUUUGUGGCCCUGUCAAUAUGGGCCCAUGCAGAGAGAGAGAGAUGAAUAACAUAUUGGUCUGUGUUUUCAAAUACUGAUAUAUUUUCAAUAUACUAACGGAAACAAAUAGCAUACUAAUAAGCCUAUGAACAGAUAUUCAGAAAUUACUUUUGUUCUACCAGUGAAUUUCAGAGCUGUCUCAUCAGAGCUGUCGCCAUGGUUCCCUGGCAAUAAGGAAAGUGAGGACUUCCGGCUGCCACCCGCUUCUCCCACCGCUUCAGCCUCCCCGAGAAGGACUCCAGCAGCAGCACGGCUACUUCUGGGUGAACUCAGCGUAAACGAGGAGCUGGUCUCUCUUUCGGGCAGUGGAAUCACAGGAUGGCUGGUCUGGAAACACUAAUGUUGUUUACAAAACUUCUCUCUUAUCUCUGCUAGUCUCUGAGUCAACUAUACCUACGUGGCUCUGACUGGUUAAUUGAGCCCCAAACUAUUUCUGACUGUUUUAUUCCAAAUAAAAGAGGGAUCAGGUAUAAUGCA
rnacentral:lncRNA from 1 species